rnacentral:rRNA from 1 species
AUUGAACGCUGGCGGCAGGCCUAACACAUGCAAGUCGAGCGGAUGAGAAGAGCUUGCUCUUCGAUUCAGCGGCGGACGGGUGAGUAAUGCCUAGGAAUCUGCCUGGUAGUGGGGGACAACGUUUCGAAAGGAACGCUAAUACCGCAUACGUCCUACGGGAGAAAGCAGGGGACCUUCGGGCCUUGCGCUAUCAGAUGAGCCUAGGUCGGAUUAGCUAGUUGGUGAGGUAAUGGCUCACCAAGGCGACGAUCCGUAACUGGUCUGAGAGGAUGAGAAGUCAUAGUGGAAAUGAGACAGGGUCCAGACUCCUACGGGAGGCAGCAGGGGGGAAUGUUGGACAAUGGGCGAAAGCCUGAUCCAGCCAUGCCGCGUGUGUGAAGAAGGUCUUCGGAUUGUAAAGCACUUUAAGUUGGGAGGAAGGGCAGUAAGUUAAUACCUUGCUGUUUUGACGUUACCGACAGAAUAAGCACCGGCUAACUCUGUGCCAGCCGCCGCAGUAA